UGUAAACAAAAAUAAAUAAAAUUGUUACAUUUGUGUACAGCAAAGGAGCAGAUGUGAGAGGGUACUUUGUGUGGUCCCUUUUAGACAACUUUGAGUGGAAUCAUGGAUAUAGUAUAAGGUUUGGACUUCAUCAUGUUGACUUUGACACACUCAAUAGAACCCCAAGAGGAUCAGCAUUUUGGUACAGAAAUUUCAUUGCACAAAAUAAGGCUAAGGUUGGCAUUAGGCUUGGGCAUACUCAAGAGUGAUGAUGAAGAAUGAAAGAUAGUUUUACAAGAAUAUAGUAUAUGUGUUUCAUGAAUAAUGCUAGCAACACACUCUUUAACAAACACACUCCAACACACUCUUUUUUAUUGGUUGAAAUUCACAUGGGUCUCAUAAAAAAAUGUGGACCCAUAUAACUUUUAUGGGACCCAUAUAAGUUUUAACCAAUAGAAAAGAGUGUGUUAGAGUGUGUUUGUUAAAGAGUGUAUUGUUAGCACUCCUCGUGUUUCAUAAUUUCACUUCAAUCAUAUAUUGUCAGCUUGUUGUUUAUUUUAUUCAAUAAUUAUAAAAGAGUUCAAUUUGUGUUCUCAA
rnacentral:lncRNA from 1 species